rnacentral:rRNA from 1 species
GGCUCAUUGCGCGCUACCAUGCAGUCGAGCGGUAGCACAGAGAGCUUGCUCUCGGGUGACGAGCGGCGGACGGGUGAGUAAUGUCUGGGAAACUGCCUGAUGGAGGGGGAUAACUACUGGAAACGGUAGCUAAUACCGCAUAACGUCGCAAGACCAAAGUGGGGGACCUUCGGGCCUCAUGCCAUCAGAUGUGCCCAGAUGGGAUUAGCUAGUAGGUGGGGUAACGGCUCACCUAGGCGACGAUCCCUAGCUGGUCUGAGAGGAUGACCAGCCACACUGGAACUGAGACACGGUCCAGACUCCUACGGGAGGCAGCAGUGGGGAAUAUUGCACAAUGGGCGCAAGCCUGAUGCAGCCAUGCCGCGUGUAUGAAGAAGGCCUUCGGGUUGUAAAGUACUUUCAGCGGGGAGGAAGGCGAUAAGGUUAAUAACCUUGUCGAUUGACGUUACCCGCAGAAGAAGCACCGGCUAACUCCGUGCCAGCAGCCGCGGUAAUACGGAGGGUGCAAGCGUUAAUCGGAAUUACUGGGCGUAAAGCGCACGCAGGCGGUCUGUCAAGUCGGAUGUGAAAUCCCCGGGCUCAACCUGGGAACUGCAUUCGAAACUGGCAGGCUAGAGUCUUGUAGAGGGGGGUAGAAUUCCAGGUGUAGCGGUGAAAUGCGUAGAGAUCUGGAGGAAUACCGGUGGCGAAGGCGGCCCCCUGGACAAAGACUGACGCUCAGGUGCGAAAGCGUGGGGAGCAAACAGGAUUAGAUACCCUGGUAGUCCACGCCGUAAACGAUGUCGAUUUGGGAGGUUGUGCCCUUGAGGCGUGGCUUCCGGAGCUAACGCGUUAAAUCGACCGCCUGGGGGAGUACGGCCGCAAGGUUAAAACUCAAAUGAAUUUGACGGGGGCCCGCACAAGCGGUGGAGCAUGUUGGUUUAAUUCGAUGCAACGCGAAGAACCUUACCUGGUCUUGACAUCCACAGAACUUGGCCAGAGAAUGGGCUUGGUGCCUUCGGGAACUGUGAGACAGGUGCUUGCAUGGCUGUCGUCAGCUCGUGUUUGUGAAAUGGUUUGGGGUUAAGUCCCGCACGAGCGCACCCUUAUCCUUUGUUGCCAGCGGUUAGGCCGGAACCUCAAAGGAGACUGCCAGUGAUAAACCUGGAGGAAAGUUG